AUACUUACCUGGCAGGAGAGAUACCAUGAUCAAGAAGGUGGUUCACCCAGGGUGAGGCUCAGCCAUUGCACCAUUGCACUCUGUUGUGACCCAUGUGAAUUCCCCAAAUGUGGGAAUCUCGACUGCAUAAUUUCUGGUAGUGGGGGACUGCGUUCACGCUCUCCCCUG